GGAAGAUAAUGUACCGGCGCCACCGGUACAUUUGGACAGCUGUUUGAACAGCUUGAUAGAAUGAUCAAGAACUUGUUUGACUGAAGAGAUAGAAUGAAAAGGGAAGACCCAAAAGUGUUUUAUAACAGAAUGCGCAAGAUGGUUUGCAUCAUGGUUAUGAAGGAAAAGCUGACAGUAUUUUUGAGACAGCAAGAAAAACAUCAUUGCACACCACCAACUAAUAAGACUCCAAAGGAAUAACAAAGAUUAGAGUUCAAAGAAUGCUGGUACUUGGAUAAAGAUAAUCAGGCAUGGACUUUCAUCUCCCAUGGAUCUUCAGCACCUUUAGGUUACAGUUUUAUAUUUCACUAGAAGAGACUCAUAAAUAAACAAAGGACAGUCAGUUACUACAAAAGAGAAGCAUCGGAGAUUACUGAUAUUUUGUUCAGCAUUAUUUCAUCUUAAAAGAUGUAAACUAUUAAAAUUUUGUUUACAUCUAUCAAUUAAUGAUUUUGAUACAUGUACCAGUAAUUAAUAAUUUUGAUGUGGGAUAAACUGGUAAAAUUGAAUGGAAAAGAAGCA